CCUGGCUCAGGAUGAACGCUAGCUACAGGCUUAACACAUGCAAGUCGAGGGGCAGCAUGGUCUUAGCUUGCUAAGGCCGAUGGCGACCGGCGCACGGGUGAGUAACACGUAUCCAACCUGCCGUCUACUCUUGGACAGCCUUCUGAAAGGAAGAUUAAUACAAGAUGGCAUCAUGAGUCCGCAUGUUCACAUGAUUAAAGGUAUUCCGGUAGACGAUGGGGAUGCGUUCCAUUAGAUAGUAGGCGGGGUAACGGCCCACCUAGUCUUCGAUGGAUAGGGGUUCUGAGAGGAAGGUCCCCCACAUUGGAACUGAGACACGGUCCAAACUCCUACGGGAGGCAGCAGUGAGGAAUAUUGGUCAAUGGGCGAGAGCCUGAACCAGCCAAGUAGCGUGAAGGAUGACUGCCCUAUGGGUUGUAAACUUCUUUUAUAAAGGAAUAAAGUCGGGUAUGCAUACCCGUUUGCAUGUACUUUAUGAAUAAGGAUCGGCUAACUCCGUGCCAGCAGCCGCGGUAAUACGGAGGAUCCGAGCGUUAUCCGGAUUUAUUGCGUUUAAAGGGAGCGUAGAUGGAUGUUUAAGUCAGUUGUGAAAGUUUGCGGCUCAACCGUAAAAUUGCAGUUGAUACUGGAUAUCUUGAGUGCAGUUGACGCAGGCGGAAUUCGUGGUGUAGCGGUGAAAUGCUUAGAUAUCACGAAGAACUCCGAUUGCGAAGGCAGCCUGCUAAGCUGCAACUGACAUUGAGGCUCGAAAGUGUGGGUAUCAAACAGGAUUAGAUACCCUGGUAGUCCACACGGUAAACGAUGAAUACUCGCUGUUUGCGAUAUACAGCAAGCGGCCAAGCGAAAGCGUUAAGUAUUCCACCUGGGGAGUACGCCGGCAACGGUGAAACUCAAAGGAAUUGACGGGGGCCCGCACAAGCGGAGGAACAUGUGGUUUAAUUCGAUGAUACGCGAGGAACCUUACCCGGGCUUAAAUUGCAGAUGAAUUACGGUGAAAGCCGUAAGCCGCAAGGCAUCUGUGAAGGUGCUGCAUGGUUGUCGUCAGCUCGUGCCGUGAGGUGUCGGCUUAAGUGCCAUAACGAGCGCAACCCUUGUUGUCAGUUACUAACAGGUUCCGCUGAGGACUCUGACAAGACUGCCAUCGUAAGAUGUGAGGAAGGUGGGGAUGACGUCAAAUCAGCACGGCCCUUACGUCCGGGGCUACACACGUGUUACAAUGGGGGGUACAGAGGGCCGCUACCACGCGAGUGGAUGCCAAUCCCCAAAACCUCUCUCAGUUCGGACUGGAGUCUGCAACCCGACUCCACGAAGCUGGAUUCGCUAGUAAUCGCGCAUCAGCCACGGCGCGGUGAAUACGUUCCCGGGCCUUGUACACACCGCCC
rnacentral:rRNA from 1 species